AUUGAACGCUGGCGGCAGGCUUAACACAUGCAAGUCGAGCGAGCGGCGGACGGGUGAGUAAUGUCUGGGAAACUGCCUGAUGGAGAGGGAUAACUACUGGCAACGGUAGCUAAUACCGCAUACAAUCAGAUGUCCCCAGAUUGGCUGUGCUCGUCGGUGGGGUAAUGGAUCACCUGGGCGACGACCCCUCGCUGGUCUGAGAGGAUGACCAGCCACACUGGAACUGAGACACGGGCCAGACUCAUACGGUAUGCAGCAGUGGGGAAUAUUGAACAAUGGGCGCAAGCCUGAUGCAGACAUGCCGCGUGUGUGAAGAAGGCCUGCGGGUUGUAAAGCACUUUCAGCGAGGAGGCGGUACUCGCAGAAGAAGCACAGGCUAACUCCGUGCCAGCAGCCGCGGUAAUAC
rnacentral:rRNA from 1 species